CCUACGGGAGGCAGCAGUAGGGAAUAUUGCUCAAUGGGGGAAACCCUGAAGCAGCAACGCCGCGUGGAGGAUGAAGAUUUUCGGAUUGUAAACUCCUUUUGUUAGAGAAGAUAAUGACGGUAUCUAACGAAUAAGCACCGGCUAACUCCGUGCCAGCAGCCGCGGUAAUACGGAGGGUGCAAGCGUUACUCGGAAUCACUGGGCGUAAAGAGCGCGUAGGCGGGAUAGCAAGUCAGAUGUGAAAUCCUAUGGCUUAACCAUAGAACUGCAUUUGAAACUGUUAUUCUAGAGUAUGGGAGAGGUAGGUGGAAUGCUUGGUGUAGGGGUAAAAUCCGUAGAGAUCAAGAGGAAUACUCAUUGCGAAGGCGACCUGCUGGAACAUUACUGACGCUGAUGCACGAAAGCGUGGGGAGCAAACAGGAUUAGAUACCCCUGUAGUC
rnacentral:rRNA from 1 species